AGAGUUUGAUCCUGGCUCAGGACGAACGCUGGCGGCGCGCCUAACACAUGCAAGUCGAACGAGAGAUGAGGAGCUUGCUCUUCAAAUCGAGUGGCGAACGGGUGAGUAACGCGUGAGGAACCUGCCUCAAAGAGGGGGACAACAGUUGGAAACGACUGCUAAUACCGCAUAAGCCCACGGCUCGGCAUCGAGCAGAGGGAAAAGGAGUGAUCCGCUUUGAGAUGGCCUCGCGUCCGAUUAGCUAGUUGGUGAGGUAACGGCCCACCAAGGCGACGAUCGGUAGCCGGACUGAGAGGUUGAACGGCCACAUUGGGACUGAGACACGGCCCAGACUCCUACGGGAGGCAGCAGUGGGGAAUAUUGCACAAUGGGGGAAACCCUGAUGCAGCGACGCCGCGUGGAGGAAGAAGGUCUUCGGAUUGUAAACUCCUGUUGUUGAGGAAGAUAAUGACGGUACUCAACAAGGAAGUGACGGCUAACUACGUGCCAGCAGCCGCGGUAAAACGUAGGUCACAAGCGUUGUCCGGAAUUACUGGGUGUAAAGGGAGCGCAGGCGGGAGAACAAGUUGGAAGUGAAAUCCAUGGGCUCAACCCAUGAACUGCUUUCAAAACUGUUUUUCUUGAGUAGUGCAGAGGUAGGCGGAAUUCCCGGUGUAGCGGUGGAAUGCGUAGAUAUCGGGAGGAACACCAGUGGCGAAGGCGGCCUACUGGGCACCAACUGACGCUGAGGCUCGAAAGUGUGGGUAGCAAACAGGAUUAGAUACCCUGGUAGUCCACACCGUAAACGAUGAUUACUAGGUGUUGGAGGAUUGACCCCUUCAGUGCCGCAGUUAACACAAUAAGUAAUCCACCUGGGGAGUACGACCGCAAGGUUGAAACUCAAAGGAAUUGACGGGGGCCCGCACAAGCAGUGGAGUAUGUGGU
rnacentral:rRNA from 1 species